rnacentral:rRNA from 1 species
AGAGUUUGAUCAUGGCUCAGAGCGAACGUUAGCGGCGGGCCUAACACAUGCAAGUCGAACGAGAAUGUAGGCUUCGGCCUACUAGUAAAGUGGCAGACGGGUGAGUAACACGUGGGUGACCUGCCUUCGAGCGGGGGAUAACGUCCCGAAAGGGACGCUAAUACCGCAUGACAUCCUGCCUUUGAAGAGGUGGAGAUCAAAGUUGGGGAUCGCAAGACCCAGCACUCGAAGAGGGGCCCGCGCCUGAUUAGCUAGUUGGUGGGGUAACGGCUCACCAAGGCGACGACGGGUAGCCGGCCUGAGAGGGCGAUCGGCCACACUGGGACUGAGACACGGCCCAGACUCCUACGGGAGGCAGCAGUGGGGAAUAUUGGACAAUGGGCGCAAGCCUGAUCCAGCCAUUCCGCGUGCAGGAUGAAGGCCUUCGGGUUGUAAACUGCUUUUGUACGGAACGAAACGCGCUAGGUUAAUACCUUGGCGUAAUGACGGUACCGUAAGAAUAAGCACCGGCUAACUACGUGCCAGCAGCCGCGGUAAUUC